rnacentral:rRNA from 1 species
ACUGUUGGGACCGCCUCUGCUAAAGAGGAGGAAGGAAUGGGCAACGGUAGGUCAGCAUGCCCCGAAUUAUCUGGGCUACACGCGGGCUACAAUGGGUGGGACAAUGGGUAUCGACACCGAAAGGUGAAGGCAAUCUCCUAAACCCAUCCGUAGUUCGGAUUGUGGGCUGCAACUCGCCCACAUGAAGCUGGAAUCUGUAGUAAUCGUGUCUCAAAAUGGCACGGUGAAUAUGUCCCUGCUCCUU